GGGACCCAACCGAAACGCAGCGAAGCUCUGCUCCGAGCUCGGCAGGACCCCCUUCCAUGCCUCUCUGCUGCGGGCAGUUUUUUGGGACGCCCGUGCAGCUGCCAGGACCUGUUCACCUAAGGCGUCCUUCCCGUCCGUCACGUGAUGGUGUGGGACUGUGUGGAAUGUCAGGGAGUGGCGGGGUUGGUGUGGCUGGGAAAGAGCUCUUUUCUCUGAAGGAUAUCCACGUGUUGGUAACCUAUUUCAACACAGAUCCAGACGUUUGAGCAAGCUAAUGUAGAAAACUCUUUGGUCUUCAUUUACACUUCUUAGUGAAUAUUUCACUAGGAGAAAGAACGUUCACGUUCCACCACUUACACCCCUGUAAAAGUAUGAAAAUAAGAAGAACCCCUGGCUUUCCUGCCUUGCUCCGAUUCCAGAGCCGUGAACUGAAAAGAUCUUGUCAGUGAUUCUGGAACAGAUUUUGCCACCUGGUUAGCAGGGGAAGAAAGAAGAGAAACUUCCAGCUUCAGGAGACAGGGAAAUGAAGACAUGAGGCUUGUUGUCAUUGUCCAGCUUUCCAUUAUGAAUUUAUGACCAUUGUCUAUAUUUUCCUUUAUAAUCUGACUGCCUGAAGAACCAGUUAGUAAAUUGUGUGUUCCUGAUAUGUUACUAUUCCAUUUGCCAACAGAAGUAAAAAGAGUGCCAAAGAAUCCACAAUUGUGUAGAUACAAAUUAUUCUGCAGGGAUCUGCCUUUUUCUAAGGGUGUGAAAUCUCCAGGAAGAGGAGAUCCAAUUAUUACAGACUUACCGAAAGCAUUCUAGAAAUAGAAUAUGC